rnacentral:lncRNA from 1 species
CAACGGCCCUUAUGUGCCCCCACAGCCAUGUUAGGAACAGGAGGAGAACCUCAUCCUAACAUGAGCAAAGUCGAAGGCCCGAUUAUUUAGAGAUCGGAUGGGGAGAGAGGCCCUUGCAACAGCCCUUAUGUGCCCCCACAGUCAUGUUAGGAACAGAAGGAAAAUCUCCUCCUAACAUGAGCAAAGUCAAAGGCCUAGUUAUUCAGAGAUCGGAUGGGGGGAGAGGCCAUUGCAACAGCCCUUAUGCGCCCCAACAGCCAUGUUAGGAACAGGAGGAGAACCUCAUCCUAACAUGAGCAAAGUCGAAGGCCUGAUUAUUUA